rnacentral:rRNA from 1 species
AGUACGUGAAACUGCUUAGAGGUUAAGCCCGAUGAACCUGAAUAUCCGUUAUGGAAAAUUCAUCAUUAAUACUAUGAUAUUUAUAAUAUUAUAGAAAUAGUGUGCAAUUUUUCCAUAUAAGGACAUUGUAAUCUGUUAAUGUAAUAAAGAUUUAUUAAAAGAUCCUUUACUCAAGUUUAUUCAAAUUAGUUAUUUUCGGAUUUCUAACAUAGAAUAAAUGUAUUGGAUUUGAUAAAUCAUUGACAGAUUUAAUUAUAUAUUGCGCUUAAAUUUUUCGGAAUUUUACAAUGACAAAUAGAUCUAUUGAUUUAAUUGUUUAUAUUGUAUGCGCUUUUAUGAUUAACAAUGCGAUAGAUUCAGGAUACCUUCGGGACCCGUCUUGAAACACGGACCAAGGAGUCUAACAUAUGUGCAAGUCAUUGGGUAUUUUUAAUAAAACCCAAUGGCAUAAUUAACUUAACUGUUAAAAUGGGAUUAGUUUAUGUUUUAUUAUGAAAUAUUAAUUCAAUCCCGGGGCGUUCUAUACAGUUAUGUAUAAUAAUAUUUAUAUUAUUUAUGCCUCUAACUAGAGCGUACCUUGAGC